AUUGAACGCUGGCGGCAGGCUUAACACAUGCAAGUCGAGCGAGCGGUGGACGGGUGAGUAAUGUCUGGGAAAAUGCCUGAUGGAGGGGGAUAACUACUGGAAACGGUAGCUAAUACCGCAUACCAUCAGAUGUGCCCAGAUGGGAUUCGCUAGUAGGUGGGGUAAUGGCUCACCUAGGCGACGAUCCCUAGCUGGUAUGAGAGGAGGACCAGCCACACUGUAACGGAGACACGGUCCAGACUCAUACGGGAGGCAGUAGUGGGGAAUAGUGCACAAUGGGCGCAAGCCUGAUGCAGCCAUGCCGCGUGGUUGAAGAAGGCCGUCGGGUUGUAAAGCACUUUCAGCGAGGAGUCGUUACUCGCAGAAGAAGCACCGGCUAACUCCGUGCGAGCAGACGCGGUAAUAC
rnacentral:rRNA from 1 species